UUCAAAGUGGCAGAAUAAUGCACUAGAUUUAAGCUCUAUAUAUGAAGUAUAACUUCCUUUGAAA
rnacentral:tRNA from 1 species